UCUACACUGCGGUAAUUUUUUGUGUCUAACCUAUAACAUCAGAUAAAUCAAUUUUCAUCAGUUGUUGUAUGGUAUGCACGUAUGUAGUGGAAUAUUUGCACGCACAGCACUAAAGCGCAUUAGAGAUUAAUAGUGUUAGAUUAAUUAAAUGUUAGUAGAGGCGGAGCUCCACCUGUAAGAUAUAUGACAGAAUCCUACACGUGAGAACUUACGCAACAUACCUCGCUAACCCACUAAUCGAGAUUCGUAGUAUACCCCACAGGCAGUUAAAUUACUUCUGUUUAAUUUUCUUGCCAUUUGCAUCUAAUUUCCAUAAAUGUCUCUCCAUGUAUUGAAUGUAGUUAUGUAGGCUAGAGGGAACUCUGUCAACAUGCACUGAAACAUAAAUUUCACUCUGCAUAGUAAAAUGGCUCUGUCCGAAUACACGACUGAA